UACGGAGGGGGCUAGCGUUGUUCGGAAUUACUGGGCGUAAAGCGCGCGUAGGCGGACCUGCAAGUCGGGGGUGAAAGCCCGAGGCUCAACCUCGGAACUGCCUUCGAUACUGCGGGUCUCGAGUCCGGGAGAGGUGAGUGGAAUUCCUAGUGUAGAGGUGAAAUUCGUAGAUAUUAGGAAGAACACCAGUGGCGAAGGCGGCUCACUGGCCCGGUACUGACGCUGAUGCACGAAAGCGUGGGGAUCAAACAGG
rnacentral:rRNA from 1 species